rnacentral:misc_RNA from 1 species
GAUGAAGAACGUAGCGAAAUGCGAUAAGUAGUGUGAAUUGCAGAAUUCAGUGAAUCAUCGAAUCUUUGAACGCACAUUGCGCCCUUUGGUAUUCCUUAGGGCAUGCCUGUUCGAGCGUCAUUUAAACCUUCAAGCUAAGCUUGGUGUUGGGUGACUGUCCGCUUCACGGCGGACUCGCCUCAAAAUUAUUGGCGGCCGGUACAUUGGCUUCGAGCGCAGCAGAAACGUGAACUCGGGCCCGUCGUAUUGGCUCCCAGAAGCUAUCUUCACAAUUUUGACCUCGGAUCAGGUAGGGAUACCCGCUGAACUUAAGCAUAUCAAUAAGCGGAGGA